rnacentral:lncRNA from 1 species
AUGAGCGAGAGCAGAGGAGGAGGAGGCAUGAGCGAGGCGGGCGAGGCCACCAUCAUCACCACCACCCUCCAGCAGGCUCCUGCGGUGGCGGCCGCCGCGGCUCCCCAGGACCCCGCGACCAAGAGCCGGGUGGGCAGCGGUGCACCCCAAGCCGCGGCCCCGGCGCCCGCCGCCCUCGUCGCAGGAAACCCGGGUGGGGACGGGGCCCCCGCAGCCACGGGCACCGCGGCCGCCGCCUCUUUAGCCACCGCCGCCGACAGCGAAGACGCGGAGAAAAAAGUUCUCGCCACCAAAGUCCUUGGCACUGUCAAAUGGUUCAACGUCAGAAAUGGAUAUGGAUUUAUAAAUCGAAAUGACACCAAAGAAGAUCUAUUUAUACAUCAGACUGCCAUCAAGAAGAAUAACCCACAGAAAUAUCUGCGCAGUGUAGGAGAUGGAGAAACUGUAGAGUUUGAUGUGGUUUAAGGAGAGAAGGGUGCAGAAGCAGCCAGUGUGACUGGCCGGGGUGGAGUUCCUGUGGAGGGCAGUCGUUACGCGCUGAUUGGCGCCGUUACAGACGUGGCUACUAUGGAAGGCGCCAUGGCCCUCCCCGGGAUUACGCUGGGAGGAGGAGGAAGAAGGGAGCGGCAGCAGUGAAGGAUUUGACCCCCCUACCACUGAUAGGCAGUUCUCUGGGGCCCGGAAUCGGCUGCGCCGCCCCCAGUAUCGCCCCCAGUACAGGCAGCAGCGGUUCCCGCCUUACCACGUGGGACAGACGUUUGACCGUCGCUCACCGGUCUUACCCCAUCCCAACAGAAUACAGGCUGUUGAGAUUGGAGAGCUGAAGGAUGGAGUCCCAGAAGGAGCACAACUUCAGGGACCAUUUCAUCGAAAUCCAACUUACCGCCCAAGGUACCAUAGCAGGGGACCUCCUCGCCCACGACCUGCCCCAGCAGUUGGAGAGGCUGAAGAUAAAGAAAAUCAGCAAGCCUCCAGUGGUCCAAACCAGCCGCCUGUUCGCCGUGGAUACCGGCGUCCCUACAAUUACCGGCGUCGCCCACGUUCUCCUAACGCUCCUUCACAAGAUGGCAAAGAGGCCACGGCAGGUGAAGCACCAACUGAGAACCCUGCUCCAUCCACCGAGCAGAGCAGUGCUGAGUAACACCAGGCUCCCCAGGCACCUUCACCAUCGGCAGGGUGACCUAAAGAAUUAAUGACCGUUCAGAAACAAAGCAAAAAGCAGGCCACAGCCUUACCAACACCAAAGAAACAUCCAAGCAAUAAAGUGGAAGACGAACCAAGAUUUGGACAUUGGAAUGUUUGCUGUUAUUCUUUAAGAAACAACUACAAAAAGAAAAUGUCAACAAAUUUUUCCAGCAAACUGAGAACCUGGGAAUUCCUGCACAGAAGACAAGAGAGCAGCCUCCCCAGUUUCAGCAAGCGCUAGGUUUAUAUUUUUUUCCUGGUUUUUACUGUUUGGGUAAUAGAUAUUGAAACAAGUAAUAUUAAUACCGCAUGGGGAGAACCCCAACCAAAGAAAUCUGAAAUAUAAAAUAAAUGCUUUUUUUUCCGUUUUUGUUCAUUUUGGAUGCUGGCGCUAAGCCUCCAAGUGUCAUGAUUAAAAAAAAAAUUAUGUCCUUAUUUAUUUCUAGGAUGAGGGGAGGAUAACAUUUUUGCUUUCUUAUGUGACUCUCUUGGAAAAUGUGCAGUAAGAAGUUCCUCAAAAAUAAAAUUUUUACCCUUCAAAGGAAAAAAAAGAAUAAAAUUCCCCAACUUAAC